rnacentral:lncRNA from 1 species
AUGAAACUGCAGGCUUGUUGGCACAGGACCAGUGAUGGUCUGUUUACAAUUUCAGCAAGCACAUCUCCAUCUCAUUUAAAUGCUGGAAGCUUCUUCACACAGUGGAGUGCCGUCCCCCGAGCCUCUCUGAACAAUGAAUCCUCUUGCCUGGAGACAUCCCCGUCAGAGAGAUGCAUCCUUGAGAUAUUCUCGGUCCGGAAGUGACUCACUCAUGUGGAUAGUUUUGCACGUUUAUUCAGCAGGUCAGAGGUGGCAACAUCAACUGGGAUAAAAAGAACCCUCACUGUUUGUAUUUUUCAUGUUUUUAUUUUUAUUUUUUUGCUCAGUUUUGCGUGUUCAUGUCACUUUAAUCAUGUUUUUUUAAUUGAAAUUUCUAUUUUUUUGUAUUCUUGAGACUAUUACUAGUUCCAACACUAGUUUAGAUGCCGUGCUGUUUGAGAAAAAAAUGACAACUUAAUUGACUUUAUUUGGUUGGAGCUGGAGUUAAACCAAUUUCUAUGGGUGACUCACACUUCAAACUAUCAAGUUAUGUCACUUUAAAGUCAUUUACAUGGUCCAGUCCACUAACCAGCUACAUUUCCUUAUUUACAUUUACUUAAUGAAUUCUCCUCUUUAUUUCUGAUAAUUUGCUUUGUUAUUUAUUUAUUUUUACAGUGCUCAUCACAUCAUCCCAAUCUGUUAGAAUUUCAGCAAUGUUUUUGUUUUGCUUUUACUUUCCCGUUCUUACAACCAUACAAAUGGUAAUUUUGCUAUAACCUGGCACAAAUCUUUGCUCAUGUUUCAUGUGAUCAUUGUUCUUUGGUGCAUUGACCCUAAUUUUAAAUAAACUCUUAAACUUUGUUCAAAAAACUGUACACCUCAUAAUAGCAAAAAAACCUCAAUGUUAAUAGAUCAUGCUACAAGCAGAGGGAUUCCCAAUAGGACUCCUUCUUAAAAAACAAAACAAGUUUGGACACCACUAUAGCUCCAAAUACCCCAACAAUAAAAGCAAUGGGGAGGAGCCAGAGGGGUAAGGGAUGAAUUGGUAUUCGGCCUUAGACAGCUGCAAUAGUUUAUUGUUUUCUUGCAUUUUACAGAUAUGAUAACAAAUAGAGUUCAACUUUGAUUAUAUCCUCCUGACUACCAUAGAAAAAUAAAAAUCCAAUCAAAAUGUCAAAACUACAACUCCCAGAGGCCUCCCCCCUUCAAAUUUGGUAUCAUUUUAAAGCCAAAAAAUGUCCUCUGUAAAAUACCAACAGACAUUCAUUCAGUAGUUUGUGACGGUUUGGAGAUAUUCAGGCGUAGAAAUUUCUUCUACAGCAGACAAACCUGCUUUGCUGUCAGUAAAAUAUAAACGUGACAAAAACCUCAUCAUGUCUGCAGCAAACUUCAAUGCUUUAGCUGGAUUUUAAAAUGUCAAACUUUUUGUUUGUAAUGUUUUCUAUGCAGCACUGACUUCAUCUGCUCUUCUGUCUCCCUCUAAAUAUUGCAUUUUAAUUAACGAAAGACCAAAAAUGUUCU